GGCAGUAUGGUGUAAAGUUGCACGCGGGAUUCCUUUCGGGGUUCCGGAUUAAAGCAUGAAUUCCCGAGGACCUUGUUCGAAUCAAGGUGCUGCUC